rnacentral:rRNA from 1 species
UUAGAGUUUGAUCCUGGCUCAGGAUGAACGCUGGCGGCGUGCCUAAUACAUGCAAGUCGAACGCACAGCGAAAGGUGCUUGCACCUUUCAAGUGAGUGGCGAACGGGUGAGUAACACGUGGAUAACCUACCUCAAGGUUGGGGAUAACAUUUGGAAACAGAUGCUAAUACCGAAUAAAACUUAGUAUCGCAUGAUACCAGGUUAAAAGGCGCUACGGCGUCACCUAGAGAUGGAUCCGCGGUGCAUUAGUUAGUUGGUGGGGUAAAGGCUUACCAAGACAAUGAUGCAUAGCCGAGUUGAGAGACUGAUCGGCCACAUUGGGACUGAGACACGGCCCAAACUCCUACGGGAGGCUGCAGUAGGGAAUCUUCCACAAUGGGCGAAAGCCUGAUGGAGCAACGCCGCGUGUGUGAUGAAGGCUUUCGGGUCGUAAAGCACUGUUGUAUGGGAAGAACAGCUAGAGUAGGGAAUGACUUUAGUUUGACGGUACCAUACCAGAAAGGGACGGCUAAAUACGUGCCAGCAGCCGCGGUAAUACGUAUGUCCCGAGCGUUAUCCGGAUUUAUUGGGCGUAAAGCGAGCGCAGACGGUUAAUUAAGUCUGAUGUGAAAGCCCGGAGCUCAACUCCGGAAAGGCAUUGGAAACUGGUUAACUUGAGUGCAGUAGAGGUAAGUGGAACUCCAUGUGUAGCGGUGGAAUGCGUAGAUAUAUGGAAGAACACCAGCGGCGAAGGCGGCUUACUGGACUGUAACUGACGUUGAGGCUCGAAAGUGUGGGUAGCAAACAGGAUUAGAUACCCUGGUAGUCCACACCGUAAACGAUGAACACUAGGUGUUAGGAGGUUUCCGCCUCUUAGUGCCGAAGCUAACGCAUUAAGU